UACGUAGGUCCCGAGCGUUGUCCGGAUUUAUUGGGCGUAAAGCGAGCGCAGGUGGUUUAUUAAGUCUGGUGUAAAAGGCAGUGGCUCAACCAUUGUGUGCAUUGAAAACUGUUAGACUUGAGUGCAGUAGAGGAGAGUGGAAUUCCAUGUGUAGCGGUGAAAUGCGUAGAUAUAUGGAGGAACGCCGGUGGCGAAGGCGGCUCUCUGGACUGUAACUGACACUGAGGCUCGAAAGCGUGGGUAGCAAACAGG
rnacentral:rRNA from 1 species